rnacentral:lncRNA from 1 species
GUCAACUUGCAAAGGUCGAGGGUACCGCCUUCGAUUUGAGGAAGCCGGUUCGUCUGGGCGACGUAAUCAACAAGGUUCCUAAAUCACCCGGCUUCGAUCACAAUUUCUGUGUCAAUCGCGAAAAUUCCCGGAAAGACGCCGACAAUUUUGUUGCAAGCGUCGUUCAUCCAGCUACUGGUAGAUCGAUAGAGGUGUAUAGUGAUCAGCCCGGAGUACAGUUUUAUACAGGAAACUUUUUGCCCGAAAAUAACAGCAUUCCUGGAAAGGAUGGUGGAUCUAUUAAAAAACACGGAGCUUUUUGUUUAGAGACUCAAAAUUAUCCUGAUUCCAUUAAUCAAGAAAAAUUUCCGAGUCCUCUACUCUAUCCUGGAGAAGUCUAUGAAACCACAACUAAAUUUAGAUUUUCUACGAAAAUGUUAUAAACUUGUUUAUUAGUUGUAAAAUACUAACCAUGUGAUUUUAUUGUUUUAAUUAAAGUACCAUGUUGCAAUUGAAAAA